rnacentral:lncRNA from 1 species
ACAGUAGCUUCUAAGCUAACCCCCUUUUUAUUUUUUGCUAAAGCUAACCCAAACCCUACUACUACACUUCUCUCUCCCGCACACCUCUCACUAUCUCUGUUUCUCGCUCUCUCUCGCGCCCUCGCCUCUCUCUUGCUCUCGCGCUCUCCUCUCUCUCUCUCUCUCUCUCUCUCUCUCUCUCUCGCUCGCAGGUCCCUCCAUCGA